GCGGAGGAAAAGAAAGCAACAGCGAUAGCCUCAGUAACGGCGAGUGAAGCGGCUACAGCUCAAAUUUGAAAUCUGGCCUCCUUUGGUGGUCCGAGUUGUAAUUUGCAGAGGAUGCUUUGGCAUUGGCGGCGGUCUAAGUUCCUUGGAACAGGACAUCGCAGAGGGUGAGAAUCCCGUACGUGGGCGCCUGCCUUUGCCGUGUAAAGCUCCUUCGACGAGUCGAGUUGUUUGGGAAUGCAGCUCUAAAUGGGAGGUAAAUUUCUCCUAAAGCUAAAUACCGGCCAGAGACCGAUAGCGCACAAGUAGAGUGAUCGAAAGAUGAAAAGUACUUUGGAAAGAGAGUCAAAUAGCACGUGAAAUUGUUGAAAGGGAAGCGCUUGCAGCCAGACUUGCCCGCAGUUGCUCACCCAGGCUCUCGCCUGGGGCACUCUUCUGCGGGCAGGCCAGCAUCAGUUUGGGCGGUCGGAUAAAGGCUCCUGUCAUGUACCACCCCUCGGGGUGGCCUUAUAGGGGGGGCGUAAUGCGACCAGCCCGGACUGAGGUCCGCGCAUCUGCUAG
rnacentral:sRNA from 1 species